UUCGAGCUAGCCAAGCUUGCUUCGGUACUGACCUAGCAACGCACACCCCUUUAAGACGUAGCAAUCUGCCCAUUAAUGGGGGACAUCAUCUCGAAAGGGAUGCUAAUACCGCAUACGCCCUACUGUGGAAAGCAGGGGAUCCCUUGUGACCUUGCGUUAAUAGAUGAGCCUAGGUCUGAUUAGCUAGUUGGCGGGGUAAAGGCCUACCAAGGCGACGAUCUGUAGCGGGUCUGAGAGGAUGAUCCGCCACACUGGGACUGAGACACGGCCCAGACUCCUACGGGAGGCAGCAGUGGGGAAUAUUGGACAAUGGGGGGAACCCUGAUCCAGCCAUGCCGCGUGUGUGAGAAGGCCUUAUGGUUGUAAGCACUUUAAACGAGGAGGAGGCUCUCUUGGUUAAUACCCACGAAGAGUGAACGUUACUCGCAGAAUAAGCACCGGCUAACUCUGUGCCAGCAGCCGCGGUAAUACAGAGGGUGCGAGCGUUAAUCGCAUUUACUGGGCGUAAAGCGUGCCUAGGCGGCUUUUUAAGUCGAAUGUGAAAUCCCCGAGCUUAACUUGGAAAUUGCAUUCGAAACUGGGAAGCAGAGUAUGGGAAAGGAUGGUAGAAUUCCAGGUGUAGCUUAAAUGCCUAGAAACUGGAGAAAACCGAUGGCAAGGCAGUAUCUGGCCUAAAUUGACGCUGAGAACAAAGCAUUGGAGCAACAGGAUACAUACCUGGUAGCCCUGCCGAAAAGAUGUCACUAGCCGUGGGGCCUUUCAGAUUUAACGCGCAGCUACGCGAUAGUAACCGCCGGUGA
rnacentral:rRNA from 1 species